rnacentral:lncRNA from 1 species
GGACCUUAAUUUGAGGCAGCGUCGUUGGAUUGAGCUCCUGAAGGACUACGACCUCUCUAUUCUCUAUCAUCCGGGCAAGGCGAAUGUGGUAGCGGACGCCUUGAGCCGGAAGGCAGUGAGUAUGGGUAGUCUAGCCUUCUUAUCUGUUGAGGAGCGACCCUUAGCUUUGGACAUUCAGUCCUUAGCUAAUAGCAUGGUUCGGUUGGAUAUCUCAGAUUCUAGACGCGUCUUGGCCUUUAUGGGAGUUCAGUCUUCUUUGCUUGAUAGGAUCCGUGGUUGCCAGUUUGAGGAUGAUACCUUGGUGGCCCUUAGAGAUCGAGUGUUAGCGGGUGAUGGUGGUCAGGCUACCUUAGAUCCUGAUGGAGUGUUGAAAUUUGCCGGCCGCAUCUGUGUUUCGAGAGUUGGAGAUUUGAUACAGUUGAUACUUUCUGAGGCCCAUGAGUCUAGAUACUCUAUCCAUCCGGGCACAGCGAAGAUGUAUCGUGAUUUGAGGCAGCAUUACUGGUGGAGUGGCAUGAGGAGAGAUAUUGCUGACUUUGUUUCCCGUUGCUUGUGCUGCCAGCAGGUAAAGGCCGAGCAUUUGAGGCCUGGUGGCGAGUUCCAGAGAUUACCCAUUCCUGAGUGGAAGUGGGAGCGUAUCACUACGGACUUCGUUGUGGGGUUGCCUCGGACUUCUAGAGGUGUUGACAGCAUUUGGGUCAUCGUGGAUCGAUUGACCAAGUCAGCACACUUCCUUCCUGUUCAUACUACCUUCAGUGCUGAGAGGUUGGCUCGUAUCUAUAUUCGGGAGGUAGUUCGUCUUCAUGGUGUGCCUGUUUCUAUCAUUUCAGAUCGGGGUUCACAGUUCACUUCCAGCUUUUGGAGUGCUUUUCAGGAGGAGUUGGGAACCUGUGUCCACCUUAGCACAGCAUUUCACCCACAGACGGAUGGUCAGUCAGAGCGUACUAUUCAGGUCCUUGAGGAUAUGUUGCGGGCCUGUGUUAUGGAUUUUGGAGGUCAGUGGGACCAGUUCUUGCCUUUGGCAGAGUUUGCAUACAACAACAGCUACCACUCUAGUAUUCAGAUGGCCCCGUUUGAGGCCUUAUAUGGUAGGCGUUGUUGCUCUCCAGUUGGUUGGUUUGAGUCUACAGAGCCUAGGCCGCGUGGUACAGAUUUGCUUCAGGAGGCCCUGGAUCAGGUGAGGGUGAUUCAGGAUAGGCUCAGGACGGCUCAGAGUAGGCACCAGAGUUAUGCGGAUCGGAGGCGCCGACCUUUGAGAUUCUCUGUUGGUGAUCGGGUAUUCCUCUGUAUGUCGCCCAUGAAGGGCGUGAUGAAGUUUGGGAGGCGGGGCAAGCUUAGCCCCAGGUACAUUGGGCCUUUUGAGAUACUCCGGACAGUUGGGGAGGUUGCUUAUGAGUUGGCCCUACCUCCAGCAUUUUCAGCCAUCCGCCCGGUUUUCCAUGUCUCGAUGUUGCGGCGGUAUGUUCCUAAUGAGUCUCAUGUACUCCAGUAUGAGGCAGUCGAGUUAGAUGAUCGUUUGACAUUUGUAGAUGAGCCAGGUGCCAUUCUAGCUAGAGAUGUGAGGAGAUUGCGCUCGNNNNNNNNNNNNNNNNNNNNNNNNNNNNNNNNNNNNNNNNNNNNNNNNNNNNNNNNNNNNNNNNNNNNNNNNNNNNNNNNNNNNNNNNNNNNNNNNNNNNUAGAGAUGUUAGUAGGGAGGGUCCUACCGUUGAUUCGAUACCUAUUGUUCUAGGGUUUACAGAUGUGUUUCCUGCCGAGCUGCCUGGUUUACCCCCUGAUCGUGCCAUUGACUUUCCUAUUAAAGUAGAGCCGGGCACUAAGCCCAUUUCUUUUCGAUUGAGCUUGAGCCAGGUACUCGGCCUAUUUCUAUUCCGCCAACCCGGAUGGCUCCUGCAGAGCUCAGGGAGCUUAGUGUUCAGUUAGAGGAUCUCUUAGGUAAGGGUUUUAUCCGUCCGAGUGUGUCGCCUUGGGGUUCUCCUGUUCUGUUUGUGAAGAAGAAGGACGGGACUAUGAGUUUGUGUAUUGACUACAGGCAGCUGAAUAAGGUGACGGUGAAGAACCGUUACCCCAUGCCUCGUAUUGAUGAUUUGUUUGAUCAGCUUCAGGGUGCCGUGGUAUUUUCUAAUAUUGAUUUAAGAUCCGGCUAUCACUAGUUAAGGAUUAGGGCAGCGGACGUCUCUAAAACUGCAUUUAGGACUCCUUACGGCCACUAUAAGUUCCCAGUUGAGGGUGAGGGGUUUACUGUUUAUUGUGACGCAUCCGGCAUUGGUUUGGGUUGUAUACUGAUGCAGCAGGGCCGCGUUAUUGCUUAUGCGUCGAGGCAGCUUAAGCCACACGAGCGCAACUACCCCACUCAUGAAUUAGAGUUCGCGGCGGUAGUUUUUUCCCUUUAGAAUUGGAGGCAUUACCUGUAUGGGGUUCGACUUAGGUAAGGGUUUUAUCCGUCCGAGUGUGUCGCCUUGGGGUUCUCCUGUUCUGUUUGUGAAGAAGAAGGACGGGACUAUGAGUUUGUGUAUUGACUACAGGCAGCUGAAUAAGGUGACGGUGAAGAACCGUUACCCCAUGCCUCGUAUUGAUGAUUUGUUUGAUCAGCUUCAGGGUGCCGCCGUGUUUUCUAAGAUUGAUUUGAGGUCCGGGUACCAUCAGCUGAGGAUUAGGGCAGCAGACAUCCCUAAGACUGCAUUUAGGACCCGUUAUGGCCAUUAUGAGUUCUUGGUGGUGUCGUUUGGGUUGAGUAAUGCCCCUGCUGCCUUCAUGGACUUGAUGACACGUGUGUUCAGGCCAUACCUUGAUUUAUUUGUCAUUGUCUUCAUUGAUGACAUACGGGUAUACUCGCGGAGCCGGAGUGAGCAUGAGCAGCAUUUGAGGAUAGUGCUCCAGACUUUGAGAGAUCAGCGGCUUUAUGCCGAGUUCUCAAAGUGCGAGUUUUGGCUUGAGUCUGUAGCCUUCUUGGGGCACGUGGUGUCCAAGGAGGGUAUUAGGGUUGAUCCGGCGAAGAUUGAGGCUAUUCGUGAUUGGCACAGGCCCACUUCUGUUACUGAGGUUCGUAGCUUCGUCGGGUUAGCGAGUUACUACAGACGCUUUGUUGAGGGCUUUUCUACUAUUGCAGUCCCGUUGACUCGAUUGACUCGUGUUGAUGUUCCCUUUGUUUGGUCAGAGGAGUGUGAGGCGAGCUUUUUGAGGCUCAAGGAGUUAUUGACCACUGCUCCUAUAUUGACUCUUCCAGUUGAGGGCGAGGGCUUUACAGUUUAUUGUGACGCAUUCGGCGUUGGUUUGGGUUGUGUAUUGAUGCAGCAGGGCCGGGUUAUUGCUUAUGCAUCGAGGCAGCUUAAGAUCCAUGAGCGCAACUACCCCACUCAUGACUUGGAGUUGGCGGCGGUAGUUUUCGCGCUUAAGAUUUGGAGGCACUACUUGUAUGGAGUUCGAUGUGAGAUCUAUACCGAUCAUAGGAGUCUUCAGUACAUCAUGAGCCAGAUGGACCUUAAUUCGAGGCAGCGUCGUUGGAUUGAGCUCCUGAAGGACUACGACCUCUCUAUUCUCUAUCAUCCGGGCAAGGCGAAUGUGGUAGCGGACGCCUUGAGACGGAAGGCAGUGAGUAUGGGUAGUCUAGCCUUCUUAUCUGUUGAGGAUCGACCUUUAGCUUUGGACAUUCAGUCCUUAGCUAAUAGCAUGGUACGGCUUGAUAUCUCUGAUUCCCGGUGUGUACUAGCUUAUGUGGAUGCUCAAUCAUCUCUGUUGGAUCGGAUUCGCAGUUGCCAGUUUGAGGAUGAUACCUUGGUGGCCCUUAGAGAUCGAGUGUUAGCGGGUG